CAACAGUAAGUCUCAACAGAAAGAGAAUACAAACUAUCCUUUAUAUCACCACCACAGAUGGACCAGCUUCAGAGGGACCAACUUGUCAGCAGCAGAACUUUAGUAUUUGGUUCUGCACAGCUCUCAACUCUGACCUGUGACCUCUGGGGAAGCACAGUGAGAGGAAUCUGCUGUGACGCCUCUUGUUUUCCUGAUCUAUUAUACAGGAUACAUUCAUAUACGGGAGAGGACUGCGAAUAUCAGACUGAAGACCUCAACAAGAAACCCUCCCAUGCUGAGACACUCAGGCUACAACUGAACUAUGGAACUCAAACAUCCUGACUGCUCAGGUAUGUGAGCAUCCUGCAGCUGCAUCCCGUGUGCACACUGAAAGGGACCAGCAUUCUUACCACCCCAUUCUGCUUCCUCGUUCUCUCCUUCUGCGUGUGCUCCAACAGCUGCUGCAGAUGGCAUGAUACAGGACUGCAGGUACUGAGGUUCAGUUUAGCUGUGUAUUUGCAGACUGACUUGGUUCUUGGGAUCCCAUGGGCUUAAACUGGGAUGCAGACUCUUGAGUUGACAAAUAUCUUGACAGUAAAUCUG
rnacentral:lncRNA from 1 species